UUAGCAUCAAGGGAUAGAUUGGGUAAGGAGUUGAAGCAAAUCAAGAAUCAAUUAGCAUGGAUCAAGGUUAGUAAAAUUUCUUAUCAUGCUUAUGAAAUUAUGUUGAUGUUGUGAGAAUCAUAAAAUCUUAAGAUCCUAGAACUAAUGAUAUUAGAGAAACUAAUGAAUCUUACAUGUGGUAUCAGAGCAUGGUUACUAGAUUUAUGAUUCUCCUAGAAUGAUGAAAUUAUGUGCUGGAAUAAAUCCUUCAAGUUAUAUAUGUAAAAAAAAAAAAGCUGCAUAAUGAAACUGUGUGCAAGAGGUAGAGGAUGAUGAAUAGUAUAUUUGGGAUGAUGAAUAGUUGCGUGAGUUUGAAGGUGUGAAAGGUUACUGGAAGUGCAAAGAAAAUCAUGCCAAAACUAUUAUUAAAGUUAAGUUUAACUUUAUGAAUGUUGACUUUGCCGUGAAUGGUGUGGUGUGCUUUCACCUUUUGCAAUGAAUAGUAGCUUACGGGAAUGAAUGCAAUGAAAGUUAAUUUGCUAUAUUUUAUAAAACUAGAGACAAACUUUGUUUACCAACUUGGUCUGCCACACACCUAAAUGAAAGGAAAGUUUUUUUGUUUUAUAUGAAUUGGUGCAUUACAACUUUGCAAAAUGUUAUAACGUGUACAUCACAGUAGUAAUAAUAACAAAUUAAUAAUGAAAAUUAAAGAAAAAUUAAAGUCUUUAAGUGAUUAAAAUUAAAGGAGAAGUAUUAUCACUUUAUGAAACUUUAGUCACUUAAAUUGAAAUUAGGUUUUUUAAUUUAAUUAUGACACAUAAUAAAUUUUAUGUGAAUAAAUGUAUAUUGUUAAAUUAAAUUUAACAAGGAUGUUAUGUAUGGUGAAUAACAAAUUAAGGUUAUUAUUAUCAUUAUUAUUUGAAAUUAAUUAUGGUAAAUUUUGUUAGUCACCAAAGUGACCAAAAUUUUAAAGUUAAUUUAAUUUCAAAUUAUUAAUGAUUUUAUUUCAAUUACUCAUUGUAUGGAUGCUAAAUUAUGAAUAAUUAAUUUAUGGGUUAAUUGAAAAUUCAUUAUUAUAAGAUAUUUUGUAUCAUCCAAAGAUGAUUAUUUGAUCUUAUAAUUAAUGAGUAUGAUUGUAGAUAAUUUUGUAUGCUCGCUAGAUUUAUUUAUAUACCCAAAGGUAGUAGAUGAUUCUAGUUGAUGCAUAUUUUAAUUAUCAAUAAAUAUUUACAAUUAUUAGCAUCAUUAUGCUUAUGUUUGUGUAUUAAUGGAUCUCCCAAAGGAGAACACUGAUAUACAUAGAAUGAUGAUUAAAGUGUGAAUCUGUAUUUAUGACUCAAAGCACUAAUGAUUAGCAUGUAUUAAUUACUGUCCCCGUUCCGGUAUCUUUACACUCGCUCGCUACGUCUGUUCCGGUCUUUAAUGGUUUAAAUUUCCCUGAUUGGAGUGAACAAGUCCAAUUUCACUUAGGUGUAUUGGAUCUUGACUUGGCUCUUCAAGUUGAGAAACCGACUGCUACCACUGAUAUUAGUAGCACUGAAGAGAAAGCUCAUUACAAAGCUUGGGAAAGAUCAAACAGACUUAGUCUAAUGUUUAUGAGAAUGAGCAUUGCAAGUAACAUCAAAUCUGCUAUUCCGAAAACCGAAAAUGCAAAAGAAUUUAUGAAAUUAGUGGAAGAGCGCUCCCAAACUGCUGAUAAGUCCCUUGCUGGGACAUUGAUGAGUACGUUGACCACCAUGAAGUUUGACGGUUCACGUACUAUGCAUGAACACGUGAUCGAGAUGACAAAUAUUGCAGCAAGGCUUAAGUCUUUAUGAAUGAAAGUGGAUGAAACUUUUCUCGUGCAGUUCAUUUUGAACUCACUACCGUCUGAGUAUGGUCCAUUUCAGAUGAACUAUAACACCAUAAAAGACAAAUGGAAUGUGCAUGAAUUGCACAGUAUGUUAGUUCAAGAAGAGACCAGACUUAAGAACUUAAGAAGCCACUCUGUUCAUUAUCUAAAGAAUCAAGGAGCUGGAAAGAAAUUUAAGAAACAUGUAAAGGGUAAAGGACCAUUAAAGAUUGACGAGUCCUCAACCAAAAUCCAGAAGAAAAAUGAUAAAUGUCAUUUCUGCAAGAAGUCUGGACAUUUUCAGUAAGACUGCUUAAAGCGUAAAGCUUGGUUCGAAAAGAAAGGUAAGCAUAAUGCUUACGUAUGUUUUGAAUCAAACUUAACUGAAGUUCCCCAUAAUACUUGGUGGAUUGAUUCUGGAUGUACGACUCAUGUUUCUAAUGUGAUGCAGGGAUUCCUUACAAUCCGAACCAUAAACCCAACUGAGAAGUUCGUCUUCAUGGGAAAUAGAGUGAAAGUUCCAGUGGAAGCUGUUGGGACUUAUCGAUUAAUUCUUGACACUGGAUAUCACUUAGACCUGAUGGAUACUUUUUAUGUACCUAGUAUCACUAGAAAUUUGAUUUCUUUGUCUAAGCUUGAUGUUGCUGGAUACUCUUUUAAAUUUGGGAAUGGUUGUUUCAGUUUGUUUAAGCGUGCCUGUAUGAUUGGAUCUGGUACACUUUAUGAUGGUUUAUAUAAAUUGAAUUUGGAUAAUUUAUAUGCUGAAACUCUUAUGACCUUGCAUCACAAUGUUAGCACUAAACGCAGUUUAGUGGAUGAACGAUCUGCUUAUUUGUGGCAUAAACGUUUGGGACACAUUUCCAAAGAAAGAAUCCAAAGAUUAGUAAAGAAUGAAAUCCUUCCUGAUUUAGAUUUUACUGAUCUGAAUGUAUGUGUGGAUUGUAUUAAAGGCAAACAAACAAAACACACAAAGAAAGGAGCCACAAGAAGUACACAGCUUCUUGAAAUUAUACACACUGAUAUAUGUGGUCCGUUUGAUGUGAAUACCUUCAAUAAAGAGAAAUACUUCAUCACCUUCAUUGAUGAUUUUUCGCGUUAUGGAUAUGUCUAUCUACUGCAUGAGAAAUCUCAAGCAGUGAAUGUCUUGGAAGUUUACAUAAAUGAAGUAGAAAGACAAUUAGACAGAAAGGUGAAAAUUGUCAGGUCUGAUAGAGGUGGUGAGUAUUAUGGAAGAUAUGAUGAAAGUGGACAACACCCUGGUCCAUUUGCUAAAUUUCUUGAGAAACGUGGUAUUUGUGCUCAAUACACAAUGCCAGGCACACCACAACAAAAUGGUGUAUCAGAAAGGCGUAAUCGAACCUUAAUGGAUAUGGUUAGGAGUAUGUUAAGUAAUUCAUGUUUACCUGUAUCAUUGUGGAUGUAUUCAUUAAAGACUGCCAUGUAUUUGUUAAACAGGAUUCCCAGUAAAGCUGUUCAAAAGACUCCUUUUGAGUUAUGGACAAAUAGGAAACCCAGUUUGAGACACCUGCAUGUUUGGGGUUGUCAGGCAGAAAUAAGAAUUUAUAAUCCGCAAGAAAAGAAACUGGAUGCAAGAACAAUCAGUGGAUAUUUCAUUGGUUAUCCAGAAAAAUCAAAAGGGUAUAUAUUUUACUGUCCUAACCAUAGUACAAGAAUUGUUGAAACUGGAAAUGCUCGGUUCAUUGAAAAUGGUGAAACUAGUGGGAGUGUAGAUUCACGAAAGGUUGAAAUUACAGAAGUUAGAGUACAAGUUCCUGUAAUUGGUACCUCUUCUUCAAGAGUUGUUGUUCCUCAUGUUGUAGAAACACACAACAAUCAAGAAGAACAACACAUUAAUACUCCCACGAUUAACAAUGAACCAGUUGUAGAACAAUCACAAGAAAUAGUAUUAAGAAGAUCUCAAAGAGAAAGAAAGUCCGCUAUUUCGAAUGAUUAUGUGGUUUACUUACAAGAUUCAGAAAAUGACUUAAGUAUUGAUAAUGAUCCAGUUUCAUUUUCAGAAGCCAUUAAUGGUGAUAAUUCUGAUAAGUGGUUAAAUGCUAUGAAAGAUGAGCUUAAAUCGAUGGUACAAAAUGAUGUAUGGGAUCUUGUGGAAUUACCAGAAGGAUGCAAGAGAGUUGGGUGUAAAUGGGUCUUUAAGACUAAGCAUGACUCUCAUGGUAAUAUCGAACGGUACAAGGCCCGACUUGUUGCCAAAGGUUUUACUCAGAAAGAUGGCAUUGACUAUAAAGAAACAUUUUCACCUGUUUCUAAGAAAGAUUCUUUCCGAAUUAUCAUGGCAUUAGUAGCUCAUUAUGAUCUUGAGUUGCAUCAAAUGGAUGUUAAAACUGCUUUUCUGAAUGGAGAUUUAGAAGAGGAUGUCUAUAUGGAUCAACCGGUAGGGUUCACUGAAAAAGGAAAGGAACACAUGGUGUAUAAACUGAAGAAAUCAAUAUAUGGACUUAAACAAGCUUCCCGACAAUGGUAUCUCAAGUUCAAUGAUACUAUUAUAUCCUUUGGAUUUAAGGAAAACACUGUUGAUCGGUGUAUAUAUCUAAAGGUCAGUGGGAGCAAGUUUAUAUUUUUGAUUCUAUAUGUUGAUGAUAUCUUGCUUGCAACUAAUGAUCUUGGUCUAUUAAGUGAGACUAAGAAAUUUCUCUCUAACAACUUUGAAAUGAAAGAUAUGAAUGAGGCAUAUUAUGUGAUAGGAAUAGAAAUAUUCCGUGAUAGAUCACAAGGAUUGUUAGGUUUGUCUCAGAAAGCAUAUAUUAAUAAAGUUUUAGAGAGAUUUAAGAUGGAUAAAUGUUCAGCAUCUCCCGUUCCAAUACAUAAAGGAGACAAGUUUAGUCUCAUGCAAUGUCCAAAGAAUGAUUUGGAACGGAAACAGAUGAAAAAUAUCCCUUAUGCAUCUGUUGUUGGGAGUUUGAUGUAUGCUCAAACAUGUACAAGACCAGAUAUUAGUUUUGCAGUUGGUAUGCUUGGUAGAUAUCAAAGUAAUCCAGGAAUGGAUCAUUGGAAAGCUGCAAAGAAAGUUUUAAGAUACCUACAAGGAACAAAGAAUCACAUGCUUACUUAUAAAAGAUCUAAUCAUCUUGAAGUGAUUGGAUAUACAGAUUCAGACUUUGCUGGUUGUAUAAAUACAAGAAAAUCUACAUAUGGUUAUCUGUAUCUUUUAGCCGGAGGAGCAAUCUCAUGGAAAAGUGCGAAGCAGUUCGUCAUUGCUACAUCCACUAUGGAAGCUGAAUUUGUGGCAUGCUUUGAGGCCACUAUUCAGGCUAAUUGGUUGCGGAACUUUAUUUCAGGACUUGGAAUAGUUGACAGUAUUGCCAAGCCGCUGAAAAUUUAUUGUGUCAAUUCCGCAGCAGUCUUCUUUUCUAAGAACGACAAGUAUUCCAAAGGUGCUAAACAUAUGGAAUUGAAAUACUUUGUCGUUAAAGAAGAAAUUCAGAAACAUAAAGUGUCAAUAGAACAUAUUAGCACUGAUUUUAUGAUUUCUGACCCUUUAACAAAAGGGUUACCGCCCAAAUUAUUUGUUGAUCAUGUAAAGAAUAUGGGCAUUAUGUCUACCAUUGAAAGUUGAAUGUUAAUGUUAUUAAUGCUUAUGUGACACUUGAAUUUUUUAAUGUAUAAGUUUCUGAAAUUUGUAUUUGUAUUUUCUUCUGUAUGGUUAUGAAUACAAUUUAUGAUGAAGAAAAAGAAACAAAUGAUAUUAUUGUUAUUGAAAUGACAUUAUGUUUGAACCCAUUAUGUAUUUAAGUUUUCUAACGUCAUAUUAAAGAGAAGGAGAUGAUACAGUAGUACAUGGAAGGAGACAUAUCGAUUGAAUGAUGUGCGACCGCCAUGACUCUUAUUAUUUCUAUAUCUUUAAUUAUGAAUAAUGAUGAAGCCAAUUAUGUAAAGUCCUCAAAUGCGCAUUAUGAUUAUUUAUUAAAUCACAGAAUGUUAUGACAUCACAAGAGUCAAGUGGGAGAAUGUUAGAAUUACCUAACUAUUAAGUGACUCAUGUGUAAAUAAAUUAGGGUCAAAAUGUGAUUUAAUAUAAUUGAGGGACUUAAUGGCAAUUACAACUUGAUGGAAGUUGUAUAAGAAUGGUGAAGGGUUCUGUCCCUGAUGCGCACAAUUCUGAAGAAGCUCUCUCUUCCAUUAAGCUUUCCAGAAAGUCUUGAGAGAAUUAAGUUAGCAUCAAGGGAUAGAUUGGGUAAGGAGUUGAAGCAAAUCAAGAAUCAAUUAGCAUGGAUCAAGAUCCUUCAAGGAUAGAUGCUUUAUCGAAAUUUAUGUGUUAAUUUAGAAAGACGUUGAGAAAUACAAAGACAUUAUAGGAAUGUUUCUUCAAUGUCUUUUACUCAAGGAGAGAAAGUUUUAUUAUUGGAAACAAAGAAUGAUAGCAUUCUUGGAAUCAAGGCCAAGAGCUGAGUCUAACGAACAUUUCUCUGAUGGCCUAUAUAUAGAAGAUCAUUCAGAUAAAGAAUCAAGAGGAUAACAUGCAACGAAAAUAUUCAUUAUGAGAAAAACAUUCAAAAGAAAAGCACAGAAAGAGGUCAAGAAAAGAAAAAAUAUGAGCAGAAAAAGAGAAAAGAAGUCAAACAAUACUCUCAAGCUUCUUUGUAAUAUUGACUUACUAUUGUAAGAAAGAGAGAAAGAGAAAAGAGAGAAACACCUGCGAGUGUUUAGACUGCAUUGUAUUGUACUCACAUCUUUUCUUUGAGAGUAAUAGUCUGAAUGACUUAUAAGCAAUCGUUGAUUGCAAUUCUGAAGAGAAUCAAACACUUGUUGAACUCUGUUGAGUUAAGGAAAUCUAGGCAAGGUUGUCUAGUACCAGGAGUGGUGUGAAUACUCCAGUCUAGGAUAACAGGAGGUUAUUCGCUGACUUAGAAGACCAGGAGUGGUGCGAAUACUCAGUUGUAAUCUUAUUAAAGAUUAUAGUGGAACCCUCUGUGAAAGAGGCUGGACGUAGCUCAAUUUAAGUGAACCAGUAUAAAAAUACAUGUGCAAUUGUUGUUCAUUCUUUUGUCUAAACGUUUUUCUCAUAAAACUUGCAUCUACUUUUUUAUUUCAAAGUACAAGAAACUUCUGCUCUAAACGAUUCUUAUUCAACUGAGGAAGUUCUCAUAAACACUACAGUAUACAUUCUGAAUAACACGUUAAAAACAAUUUUGAAUGAACACAACCAAGAGUGGAUGAAACUCAACUAGGUUGUGUAUUGGGGGAUACCAGGAGUGCCUAGGAAUACUAAGAGUGGUGAGAAUACUCAAUUGUAAUCUUGUUAAAGAUUAUAGUGGAAUCCUCUAAGGAUAGAGGACUCUAGACGCAGUUUAUUUUGAGUGAACCAAUAUAAAAAUAUCUAUGCAUUUAUUGUUUACUUCUGUCUCAACGUUUUUCUUAUUAAACCUGCAGUUGCAUUUUAGUUUUAAAUACAAGAGCUUCAUGUACUAAGUGAUUGUUCAUUAAAAAGGAAGUUCUUACAAACAUUACAGUGAAUAUCCUUAAUAGCACGUGAAAAUAAUUCUUUGUUUAAAAUAUUUUACAAGGUCGAGCGUUUAAGAAUUACUUGAAAAAUCUUGUAUUCAACGAAAGUGCUCAACCCCCAUCCCCCACUCUAGUGUUUUCAGGUAACUAUGACUUUGAUUGUCUUUAGGUUGCUUAGAGAUGGACAAGCAAGCUAACUCAUGUGCAUAUGUUUCCAAAAUUGCAUCCUUAUUCAUAGAUUGGUUGGGAAUGGACAAACAAACUAACUCAUGUGCAGUUAUUUCUAAGUUUGUGUCCAAACUAAUAAAAUGGCUUUAACUUUCCAAAGUAAUUGAUAACUAAGCAAACAUAAUAUCAAACACAUAUUCAUUAAGUUCCAAGUCUGUGACUUCCUUUUUUUGUCAUUCUUUCUUCCUUUCAUUGCUUUUGUCAUUUCUAAUUGAUAAAUAAAUAUUUCCUAGGUAAUAUCAUUCUUUCUUCUCCCCAUUGUUGGUGCCACUGCUUCUUGAUGAACAAUUCUUACUUACACAACAAAACUAAAUAAGAUGAAUUAAUACUUCCAUUAAAUGACAAAUUAGGAUGCUCUUUUCUUUAUUUUUUUCCUCUUCUCUCUUUUAGUUCUCUUCUAUUUCUUUUACUUCCUUUUCGUUUUUUUUUUCUCUUCUUUUUCUCUCAUUUCCUCCUCUUCUCUCUCUUUCUUUUCUUUCUCUUCUCUUCUUCUCUUUUCUUUCUCUUAUCUUUCUCUUAUUUCUUUUGCUUCCUUUUCUAUAAGUACUUCCUUUUCUUGUGCUCUCUUUAGCUUCCGAUCUUUUCUACUUUUCAACGCAUCUAAUUUUUGCAAAGUCCUUUCUUCCUUCGCUUUCAAAUAUAGAAUGUUGUUCUUGAGGUCUUCAUCAGUAGUCAUGAGACUUGCAUUCCAAUUAGGACAUUGAUGAGUGUCAUGCCCAUAACCUUCACAUUUGGAAUAUCUUAUAGAUUUAACCCUUGGGAAAAUAUUUUUGUCAAGCUUAUGUUUCGUUUUAAUACUAAAAAUUUCACCAUUCAACUUUACAAUUCUGGACUCCAAGGCAUUAACAUUCUCCACCAAGGCCUUAUGAGAACACAACUUCCAGAAGGAUGCCUCUAUUGGAAUCUGUUGCAUUGUUCAAUAUUGAUAAAUCCUGCAAAAGGUUAAAAAAAUUAAAAUAACAGAAUAUAUUUAUAUUCCCGCAACUCGUCUAAGUGUUUCACUCAAAUUUUACUCGUGUAUCACAAUGAUAAGCUUUUUCUUGAAUGUACUAUCUUGUCUUUUACCACUCAAUUUCCCUUAGUGCUUGGCAAAAAACUCUAGUUGCUUAUACAAAGAAUGUGAAAAAUGUUGUGAGAUCUAAAUCUUAAUUUAAAGUUCAAAGAAAAUACAAAACUUUAAGGAAUUUUUAAAAUACACAAAACAAUAAUAUUAGAAAAUAAUAGGAUAACCAAAAAGAGCUAAAUGAGACAAUGUAGAGAGGAUAAAACAAACUGAAUAUAAUUCAAAAGAUUAACAAUAACAAGCAAUAAUGUAAUAUAAUAAUUUGCAUUGAACUCUAUAACUUUUUCUUUGCUCUUGGAUCUUAAUUUAUCUUUUUUUUAUUAUAUCUUUGUUUCCUUUAUACUUGGAUCCAUUAUUAUUUUUUUAAUUUUACAAUUCAACAGACAAACUAAGAAAACUAAACAGAUUCCCUUCAAACACCAAAACUCAUGUAAGAUCUAAGUCAAGGUAAACAAUUAAUUAAUUAACACAAAAUAUACAAACAAAUAAUUUCCACGAAUCAAAUGUAGAAAUGCACAAUUUAGAAGAUAACACACACAAAAAUAAAAUCUCGUGAAAUUGGAUAAAAUUUUGUUUUUUUAAUAUGACAGAAAAAAACAAUUAAAAGAGGAUAUUCAAAUCAAAACCUUGCUCUAGAUACCAGAUGAUAUUUGGUAUCUAAGAAAAAAUUCAAACCAAAUCCUUGCUAUGAAUACUAAAUGAUUCAAUCCUAUCUAGGAAAGAGUACAAUCAUUUCUGAAUUUGAAUCCUUAAGAAGAACAACAAAAAUUAGAGAAGAAUGUAGAAUAAGACAGGGAUGAAGACACCACAAUCUAGCUGAUAAGUCAAGUGAAGAUUCACCACAAAUAUGUUAAUCUUUAAUAAGAAUUAAAGUUUUAAUACAAAAACCAAGAGAAUCCAUUCUUAAAGAAUGAAAAUGCAUAUAAUAUGACUCAAAAGUAUUUAUACCAGCUUUUUGUAACUCUAUAUAUAGGAACAUAAGUUUAAGAAAACAUAAACACCCUAAAAUAAAGCACAAAGCAUAAAGCCUAAAAUAUAUAACAAUAACAAAAGAGAAAAUUACAGACUCAGACUUUCGCCGAGUGAGACCCGCUUGCCCAACAAAUUCAAUAUUCUGCAAAAUUAAAAUAAAAUGAUAAUUAUUUAAUUUCCUAAAUUAUUCUUCAAUUGUUCUCAUGAUCUUCAUCUUCUUUAAGUUUUCCCCUUCUUGAUCUUUGACCUUGUCACAGAUCCUUUGAAUUGCAAAUGUUCUUCUUCAAGUUGUUCUUGUAUAUGUUCAAGAGAUAGUCCUGUACCACUUUAGGGGGCCGUAAAUUGAUUAUAUUUGUAAUAAGCUUGGCACAUACUAUUUAUAUCCACUAGUUUGAGGAAGAGUAUUGGAUAUAUUAGAUUAUUAGAUAUCUUAUAUUUAUUCUUUAUAUUUAGUUAGUUUGUUAUUAUUUCUUAUUUGUAUUUUUGGCUUAACCAUAUUUCUUCUAUUAUAAAUACAGUACCUUGUAUGUAUAUUCAGUACAAGGAAGAUUAAUCUCAUACAUAGUUUUUACUAUAUUAAAUAAUUUUAUUAUUUAAUAUUUUAUUUAA